AUACGUAGGGGGCGAGCGUUGUCCGGAAUGAUUGGGCGUAAAGGGCGCGUAGGCGGCGCGGUAUGUCUGGAGUGAAAGUCCUGUUUUCAAGGGGGGAAUUGCUUUGGAUACUGUCGGGCUUGAGUGCAGGAGAGGUAAGUGGAAUUCCCAGUGUAGCGGGGAAAUGCGUAGAGAUUGGGAGGAACACCAGUGGCGAAGGCGACUUACUGGACUGUAACUGACGCUGAGGCGCGAAAGUGUGGGGAGCAAACAGGAUUAGAUACCCUGGUAGUCCACACUGUAAACGAUGAAUGCUAGGUGUAGGGGGUAUCGACCCCUUCUGUGCCGCAGUCAACACAAUAAGCAUUCCGCCUGGGGAGUACGGCCGCAAGGUUGAAACUCAAAUGAAUUGACGGGG
rnacentral:rRNA from 1 species